rnacentral:lncRNA from 1 species
UUGAGCACAACCUCUCAGUAUGCAUAUGAUUCUGUGUGGACCAAGCGUCUCACGUUUUGUUCGAUAUUCCUUCGGUAGCCACAUUAGCUGACCAAAGUAGGCAUUCGAUUGUGGUCAACAUGCUUUCAUUUGCGUCUUUUUUUUGCAUUUCGGUGUCCCAGCCCCACAAAAGAAAAAAAAAGCAUUGUU